rnacentral:rRNA from 1 species
CCUCCGUAGGGUGAACCUGCGGAGGGAUCAUU